rnacentral:rRNA from 1 species
CAGCCGCCGCGGUAAUACCAACCCCGCGAGUGGUCGGGACGUUUAUUGGGCCUAAAGCGUCCGUAGCCGGCCCGGUAAGUCCCUCCUUAAAGCCCACGGCUCAACCGUGGGAGCGGAGGGAUACUGCCGGGCUAGGGGGCGGGAGAGGCCGGGGGUACUCCUGGGGUAGGGACGCAAUCCUAUAAUCCCAGGAGGACCACCAGUGGCGAAGGCGCCCGGCUAGCACGCGCCCGACGGUGAGGGACGAAAGCUGGGGGAGCAAAGGGGAUUAGAUACCCCCGUAGUCCCAGCUGUAAACGAUGCAGGCUAGGUGUUAGGCGGGCUUCGUGCCCGCCUAGUGCCGUAGGGAAGCCGUUAAGCCUGCCGCCUGGGGAGUACGGCCGCAAGGCUGAAACUUAAAGGAAUUGGCGGG